rnacentral:tRNA from 1 species
GCCGGUGUAGCUCAGAAGCAGAGCGGCGGGGUGUCGUCUCCGUGGCACAUUGACGAUACGCAAGGCACAGAAUGAUUCGUCCAGUCAACGCAUCAGGGCGUGCUUUGUGGCGCAGGUGCAAGUCCUGCCAUCGGCA